UUGAGAUAAAUUCUCACAAGUAGCCCAGGCUGUCCUCACCUCAGCCCUGCCUCACCAUCCCUAGUCCUGGGAUUACAGGUGUUUGCCACCACACUUGGCUUCAAGUUACUUGAGUAUCGUAGCUGCAUCCCAAUGCUGAGGAGGUAGCUCAGUGGGAGAAUGUUAGCAUGCACAAGGCCCUGAGUUUGAUUUCCAGCAACAACAAAAAAUUUUUUUUUCUUCAAAGCCCAAGAAGGAAACAAGGGCCAGGUGUGGUGCAGCCCAGUAAUUCCAGCACUCUUGGGAGGGCGAAACAGGAAGAUCACAUUUUAGCCCAGUCCUGGGCAAAUUAGUCCUUGUCUCAAAGCCAAAGGAUGCAGUUCAGUGCAAAGGCUCUUGGGUUCAAUCCCCCAGUACCUUAAACAGGACUGAGGAUGUAGCUUAGUGUAAAGGCCCUAGGUUCAACCCCCAACACCCAUAAGUAAGGAAAGGGAGAUGGCUGUAUCGCCCUGAGAAGGCUAGAAUACCUGUUGAAGACUAACAGUUAAACCACAUAAUUGAAUGCAAGCCAUCAGUAUGGUGGUGCACACCUGUAACCCCAGCUACUCUUGAGGCUGAGGCAGGAUCUUUUUGGGUUCUAGGGCAGCCUGGACUCUUUAAGAAACCAUUUUGAAAAGGCGGGUGGGGGACACAGCUGGGCACGUAGCUCAUUGCUUAGUAAUCCCUCACUUUAAAGGUUUUUAAAAGCCAGGCAGGGUGGUGCACACCUGUAAUUUCAGCACUGCAAAGCUGAAGCAGAAGGAUCACAAGUUUGAACCUGCCCAGGCAACUUAGCAAGACCCUGUCUAAAAAAUAGUCUUUUUAAAGGCCUGGGGAUGUAACGCAGUGCAAAGGCCCUGAGUUCAAUCUCCAGUUACCCAAAAGAAAUGAAAAACAUGCUCAUUAAAAGACUUGGACAAGAGCUGGGAUUUAGCUCAGUGGUUUCGCUGCCUGCUGCACAAGCGCAAGGACCCGAGUUUGAUCCUCGGUACCAAAAAAAAAAAAAGACUUGAACAAGACUGUUCAGCAGUUUAUUUGUAAUAUUCAAAAUCGCAGGGGGGGGGGCAAAUGUCCAUCCAUUUGGUAAAUGCAUAAAUUGUAUAUUCCUACACUAAAAUACUACCAAGCAACAAAAAAUAGGCUGAGGAGCUGGAGGUGUAGCUCAGUGCCAGAUGGAUCGCUUGCCUUACAAUGGAUGAAGCCGUGCGUUGAUCCCCUAGAUCACAAAAAAAGGGGGAAAAAAUAAAAUGGGGGUUGUGGUGGAAUUGGGUAAGCUUAUAAGAGGGCAACAUGAGAUCCUUGAAGUGAUAUAACCACAUACUUUAUCUUGAAGAUGGUGAAUACUUGAACUGAUGUGAUAAAAUUGUAGAGAAAAGUGUAAGAUCUACUGCAAACAUGUACUGAUAAAAUUUAUAAGUGUAAGACCAGUAGACUGUUACUGUCAUCCUGAUUGUGAUACUGUAUUACAGUUUUGCAAGCUGUUACUGUUGGGGAAACUGGGCAAAUGGUAUAGAAGAGCUGUCAGUUAUUUCUUACAACUGCAUGUAAACCUAUAAUCUCAAUAAAAAUUUUAAUAGAAAA
ensembl:lncRNA